UUUCCUGCUUGAAUAUGGAGGAGACUAAGAAAAGAAGAAGAACGAGAGCGAAGGCAAAGAGUAUCUCAUCAUGACGAGUUUCAUUACGAUAGAAAACUCCUCUGUGUUGAUCAGCCCGAGAUGACGGUUCCCUUGGUUGACCAUAUGAACCCGACCUGCAAGAUGAAGACUAUCGCUGUGGAUGGAAAACCUCAGCUAUGCUUGUUUGCUCCAAACAAUGAAGAGAUCACAUAUAAUCAUGGUGAUCCUGAGUGGCCAAGUGAUGCACGAUGAGCCAUUUGAAAACUCACAUGGCUGAAGUUGGGGUGAUCUCGGGAGGCGAUACCUUCAGACUGACGGCAGGAGGUCUGUACUCUAUCACAGCUUCAAUUGGUCAUGGACCGCCCAAGUUGACGUUUGACUGACUGACAUGCAAGGUAACCAAUGACCGUUUUGUUCCAUGUCAUGUUUAGGGGUGUGCAAAUGUAACAUCGAUGUGCCUACAAUAACAGACGGCGUGAAUCUAAAUUCUUCAAGAACGUGCAGGUUUACUGCAACAGUAGAGCUGCGAACCUCACAUAGUUUUGAAAAUCCAGCAAUUAGUUAAUCUUGAUGAGAUCAGAAUGACUGGAUGCCAGUAAUCCUGAUGAAAGCCAUCCUGAGGAUGAUCAUUUCUCCAAUGCUUUUGAUCUGCUGUACAGCACUCGAUGAAAAUCACUGUAUUUCUGGAAAGCGGCUUUAAUACAAUCUGUAUAUUAAAAAGCGCUAUUUAAAUAAAGGUGACUUGACAGCAAUCUCUUUAAUUUGUUUCCAACUAUUUUUAUUACUAUUUAUGUUUAUGAAAUAGUAAUAAAAAUAUCUGAAAACAAAUUAAAGACAUCUAUCUAAAUGAAUUCCAUCUCUUUGCAUUUUACAGUUGUUGUUGUUGUUGUUUUUCUUUUUACACAAGACAGAUUGUAGUGUACCUUGAGAUUUAUGUAAAAUUGUCAGGCCAACAACUAAUGUUGACAACAAGCACUAAUAAACUCUGCUCCUUGCACAA